rnacentral:rRNA from 1 species
GACGAACCGUGCGAACGUUGUUCGGAAUCACUGGGCUUAAAGGGCGCGUAGGCGGCUUGUCAAGUCAGGGGUGAAAUCUUUCGGCUCAACCGGAAAAGUGCCUUUGAUACUGACAGGCUCGAGGGAAGUAGGGGCAUGUGGAACUUCUGGUGGAGCGGUGGAAAUGCGUUGAUAUCGAGAAGGAACGGCCGGUGGCGAAAGCGACGUGCUGGACUUCUACUGAGCUGAGGCGCGAAAGCUAGGGGAGCAAACGGG